rnacentral:rRNA from 1 species
AUACGAAGGGGGCUAGCGUUGCUCGGAAUGACUGGGCGUAAAGGGCGUGUAGGCGGUUUACACAGUCAGAUGUGAAAUCCCCGGGCUUAACCGUGGGAGCUGCAUUUGAUACGUGUAGACUAGAGUGUGAGAGAGGGUUGUGGAAUUCCCAGUGUAGAGGUGAAAUUCGUAGAUAUUGGGAAGAACACCGGUGGCGAAGGCGGCAACCUGGCUCAUGACUGACGCUGGAGGCGACGAAAGCGGUGGGGAGC